CCUACGGGAGGCAGCAGUAAGGAAUAUUGGUCAAUGGGCGGGAGCCUGAACCCGCCAAGUCGCGUGAGGGAAGACGGUUCUAUGGAUUGUAAACUUCUUUAGUCCGGGGGUAAUGCCGGGCACGCGUGCCCGUAUGAAGAGAACCUCAGAAUAAGCAUCGGCUAACUCCGUGCCAGCAGCCGCGGUAAUACGGAGGAUGCGAGCGUUAUCCGGAUUUAUUGGGGUUAAAGGGUGGGUAGGCGGAGUUUUAAGUUAGUGGUAAAAUGUCAGGGCUCAACCCGGACCGGCCGUUGAAACUGGUGGUCGUGAGUGGGCGUGAGGUAUGCGGAAUGCAUGGUGUAGCGGUGAAAUGCAUAGAUAUCACGCAGAACUCCGAUUGCGAAGGCAGCAUACCGGCGCACGUCUGACGCUGAGGCACGAAAGCGUGGGGAUCGAACAGGAUUAGAUACCCGUGUAGUC
rnacentral:rRNA from 1 species